rnacentral:rRNA from 1 species
AUUGAACGCUGGCGGCAGGCCUAACACAUGCAAGUCGAACGAGUGGCGGACGGGUGAGUAAUGUCUGGGAAACUGCCUGAUGGAGGGGGAUAACUACUGGAAACGGUAGCUAAUACCGCAUACCAUCGGAUGUGCCCAGAUGGGAUUAGCUAGUAGGUGGGGUAAAGGCUCACCUAGGCGACGAUCCCUAGCUGGUCUGAGAGGAUGACCAGCGACACGGGAACUGCGACACGGUCCAUACUCCUACGGGAGGCGGACGUGGGGAAUAUUGCAAAAUGGGCGCAAGCCUGAUGCAGCCAUGCCGCGUGUAUGAAGAAGGCCUUCGGGUUGUAAAGUACUUUCAGCGGGGAGGCGUUACCCGCAGAAGAAGCACCGGCUAACUCCGUGCCAGCAGCCGCGGUAAUAC